rnacentral:rRNA from 1 species
UUGCUAAUACCCGAUAUGCCCUUCGGGGUGAAAAGUUUUAUCGCCUGAAGAUGAGCUCGCGUCCGAUUAGCUAGUAGGUAGUGUAAUGGACUACCUAGGCGAUGAUCGGUAGCUGGUUUGAGAGGACAAUCAGCCACACUGGGACUGAGACACGGCCCAGACUCCUACGGGAGGCAGCAGUGGGGAAUUUUCCGCAAUGGGCGCAAGCCUGACGGAGCAAUACCGCGUGGGGGAGGAAGGUCUGUGGAUUGUAAACCCCUUUUCUCAGGGAAGAAGCUCUGACGGUACCUGAGGAAUCAGCAUCGGCUAACUCCGUGCCAGCAGCCGCGGUAAUACGGAGGAUGCAAGCGUUAUCCGGAAUUAUUGGGCGUAAAGCGUCCGCAGGCGGCUAGAUAAGUCUGCUUUCAAAGAGUGGGGCUCAACCCCAUAGGGGGAGUGGAAACUGUUUAGCUAGAGUAUGGUAGGGGCAGAGGGAAUUCCCAGUGUAGCGGUGAAAUGCGUAGAUAUUGGGAAGAACACCAGUGGCGAAGGCGCUCUGCUGGACCGAGACUGACGCUGAGGGACGAAAGCUAGGGGAGCGAAAGGGAUUAGAUACCCCA